rnacentral:rRNA from 1 species
UACGUAGGGCGCAAGCGUUGUCCGGAAUUAUUGGGCGUAAAGAGCUCGUAGGCGGCUCGUUGCGUCAACCGUGAAAACUCAGGCUUAACCCUGAGCUUGCAGUGGGUACGGGCAGACUAGAGUGCGGUAGGGGAGACUGAAUUCCUGGUGUAGCGGUGAAAUGCGCAGAUAUCAGGAGGAACACCGGUGGCGAAGGCGGGUCUCUGGGCCGAUACUGACGUGAGGAGCGAAAAGCGUGGGGGAGCGAACAGG